AUGCUGUUCACGGGGGCCCCCACUUCCCUGAGAUAUUUUCCCAAACCGCCCGUGUCCCCGGCCCGGCCGCGGGGGAGGCCCCGGUACCUGGAGGGUCGGGCUACGUGGGACGGCCCUACCCUUUCGAGGGGGUUCGACAAGCCGACUCCCGAGAAGUCAGAGGGCGGGAACCGCGGGCGCAAGGAAUGGAGCAGGAGGAGCCGGGCUAUUGGAACAUGAGCACCGGGAACGCCAAGAGGGACGCACAGAUUUUCCGAGAGAGCCUGCACAACCUGCGCGGCUACUACAACCAGAGCGAGGACGGGUCUCACACCUAUCAGUGGAUGUAUGGCUGUGACAUGGGACCCGACGGCCGCCUCCUCCGCGGUUAUGACCAGUUCGCUUAUGAUGGCACCGACUACAUCGCCCUGAACGAGGACCUGCGCUCCUGGACCGCGGCCGACACUGCAGCUCAGAUCACCUGGCGCAAGUGGGAGGAGUACGGUCUGGCUGAGCGAUACAGGAACUUCCUGGAGGGCAGGUGCCUGGAGUUGCUACACAGAUUCCUGGCGCUGGGGAAGGAGGUGCUGCAGCGCGCAGACCCUCCAAAGACACACGUGACCCACCACCCCAUCUCUGACUGUGAGGUCACCCUGAGGUGCUGGGCCCUGGGCUUCUACCCUGCGGACAUCAGCCUGAGCUGGCAGCGUGAUGGGGAGGAGCAGACCCAGGACAUGGAGCUGGUGGAGACCAGGCCUGCGGGGGAUGGGACCUUCCAGAAGUGGGCGGCCCUGGUGGUGCCCCCUGGAGAGGAGCAGAGAUACACGUGCCAUGUGCAGCACGAGGGGCUGCCCGAGCCCCUGACCCUGAGAUGGGAGCCGCCUCCUUGGGCCACCUUCCCCCCUGUGGGCCUGGUUGUGGGCCUGGUCAUCCUUGGAGCUGUGGUCACUGGAGCUGUGAUGUGGAGGAGGAAGCGCUCAGGUGGACAAGGAGGGAGCUAUGCCCAGGCUGCCAGCAAUGAUAGUGCCCCGGGCUCUGAUGUAUCUCUCAUGGCUUCUAAUGGUGAGAGUCUGAUGAUAGCAGGGGUUGGGGCGAAAGGGAGAGGACUGGAUGAUGGGGAUUCUUUGGGACAUAGUGAGCCUGCGGUGGGCUGUUGAGAAGGUCAUUACUUA